rnacentral:lncRNA from 1 species
CCUGAGAUUUUUGGCCAAAACGUUAGGUUCUUAUGCGAUAAGUGAUUUUUCGACCUAAAAUAUUUUUUUAAAUGAGAUCAACUCAUCAGUAAACAAAUUACGUGAUUAACAAAAUGUUUUAAAAAAUUGUUUAAGGACCAAAAAUAUUUAUUCGAUUAAGACUAUAAAUUUUAUUUUUCCAUACGAUAUUUCUUAAAUAAUUUUUCUAUAAAUUCACAUGCACAAGGCUUGAACUAUGAAGCAUUACUUGAGUUGUAACUUAUAGUACAAAGUUGAGGUGUAUCACCGGCUAUUCUCAUAAAUCUUAUUAAUGAAUGCUUAGUUUACUAGAAUAAUUACAUUUUAUGCCACUGCAUAUUUUUGGACCACGAACUAAAAAAAUUCUCUCGACUGUCUUACAAUUAAAUUAAACCGAACCCGUUUUAUUAUUUGUCUAACAAUUUAAAUAGACCAACAUACGUAUGGCGAAUUAAAUCUAUUGAUUUCUUGAUUUAACCACAUAAGAAGACAAGAAAGCUUCUAAACAUAUAAACCCACCCUUUAAUACGUCAAAUAUAUAGUAUUCUUGGAGAAAUCACAUGUUUACCACUUUCAUAUUACCAUUUUUCAUUUUUACCACCAAUAAAUAGACAUUUUCAAAAAUAUUUGGGAAAUUGCCAAAAAUACCAUUUUCAAAGUAGUACUUUUCAUGUUUACACUAAUCACUUUUACCUUCAUCUUUAAUGAAGGGUAAAAAACAUUUAUGACCUUUUGAUUAACUUUGACAAGAAAAAACAUUCGGUUAACUAAUCUAAACUU